GUAGGGGGCAAGCGUUGUCCGGAUUUAUUGGGCGUAAAGAGCGUGUAGGCGGCCGUGUAGGUCUGACGUGAAAUCUGGAGGCUCAACCUCCAGCUGUCGUUGGAAACCGCACGGCUAGAGUCCGGAAGAGGAGAGUGGAAUUCCUGGUGUAGCGGUGAAAUGCGCAGAUAUCAGGAAGAACACCUAUGGCGAAGGCAGCUCUCUGGGACGGUACUGACGCUGAGACGCGAAAGCGUGGGGAGCGAACAGGAUUAGAUACCCUGGUAGUCCACGCCGUAAACGAUGGGUGCUAGGUGUGGGCGGUGUCGACUCCGUCCGUGCCGAAGCUAACGCAUUAAGCACCCCGCCUGGGGAGUACGGCCGCAAGGCUA
rnacentral:rRNA from 1 species